rfam:Pteropus alecto contig31216, whole genome shotgun sequence.
AGCAUCAUAGUGUAGUGGUUAGCACGUCUGCUUUAGACGCAGAAGGUCCUGGGUUCACAACCCAGGUGGAGCCA